UGCACUAAAACCGUCCAGAGAAGAAGAACGUCUCUCCUCCCGUAGUCCUCCGCGGCGCUAAAGUGACCUCUGUUGCUAACUGCAAGUCUGCUCUAAAACUAUGGCUCCUCCCGUCGCAGUGUCGCCUUUGAUUAAGACAGCCAGGUAUUCAGCUUUGAUUGUUGGCAUCAUCUAUGGCAAAAUGAGAUAUGAUAACCUGAAGCCCAUCGCUGCAGAGGAGAGGAGGAUCGAGGAAGAGGAGAAAAAGAUCCGCGAGGAGCAGGAGCGUAUCGCCAAGCAGCUAAGAGAAGCAAGUGAAGACACCAUUCUGAAGUAAAGCUUCAGAGUUGAGGAUGUCCACCUCCAUGUGCAAUUUCCAACCUUAUCCUCCUUUUUCUGGAGUAACUCAGUCAGGUCACCCAAACUCUCCAAUUUUUCGUGGACGUGUUCGCUGGUACCUUGUAUAAUACAACACCCCUCUGGAGUCCCAGAUAUAGUUGUUUAUGUUAGUUAGGUGAUAUGAAAUAAGGCUCUUGAACUCAGCAUUGUAUAACUGCAAAAGCACUCCUAAGUUUUUAAGUUGAUGUUUGUAAUGAAGCAAUGUCACAAAUAUACAAGUACACGAUCUCUGUGGGCUUUGUCUUUGUUUACCAGCACCACAACUGUUACAUUAAAUUAAUGAACAGUCAUUUUGCAGCCAAGAUUUUUGCUCAUAAUAGUCACCACAUUAAAUGCAGAAGUGUUUAAUUAGUUGCUGUUUAAUCAGGCUCAGUUUUGGAUCACUGGUUCCACAUACAAAACCUGCUUUAAUUAUUCUGUCUAAUCAUGUGAAGACAUUAAAGUCAUGACAAGGCU